AAAGUUGAAACACCGGUUCCUUCAUGAUCACCAAAGUUAAGCAAUAUCGAGCCUGAUCAGUACUUAGAUGGGUGACCACUUGGGAAUACCAGUUGCUGUAAG